CUCCAGACUCCUACGGGAGGCAGCAGUGGGGAAUAUUGCACAAUGGGGGAAACCCUGAUGCAGCGACGCCGCGUGAGCGAUGAAGUAUUUCGGUAUGUAAAGCUCUAUCAGCAGGGAAGAAGAUGACGGUACCUGACUAAGAAGCCCCGGCUAACUACGUGCCAGCAGCCGCGGUAAUACGUAGGGGGCAAGCGUUAUCCGGAUUUACUGGGUGUAAAGGGAGCGUAGACGGCGAUGCAAGCCAGAUGUGAAAGCCCGGGGCUCAACCCCGGGACUGCAUUUGGAACUGUGUGGCUGGAGUGUCGGAGAGGCAGGCGGAAUUCCUAGUGUAGCGGUGAAAUGCGUAGAUAUUAGGAGGAACACCAGUGGCGAAGGCGGCCUGCUGGACGAUGACUGACGUUGAGGCUCGAAAGCGUGGGGAGCAAACAGGAUUAGAUACCCUCGUA
rnacentral:rRNA from 1 species